UCGCUGCCCUGGCUUCCUCUUUAGCCUUGUGCGCCUCUCCAGCGGGAGGGGGGGGGAGGCUGCGCAAGGUUAAAGAGGAAGCCAGGGCAGCGA